rfam:Canis lupus familiaris chromosome X, whole genome shotgun sequence.
GCCUGGGUGGCUCAGUGGUUGAGCAUUUGCCUUUGGCUAAGGGCGUGAUCCCAGUCUUGGGAUCGAGUCCCACAUCAGGCU